UUCCAAUAUUUGUAUUUUGUGUAUCAACAUGUAACCGGAAGUUGAAACUAGAGUAAGAAGUAACAACGAACAUUGGUUUCUCAGUUAAUUUUCUCAAGAUCGAGCAGUAAAUAAGAAUCAUGAAAAAGACAUUAGCAGGUUCUAUACAUAAACUAUUUUUUUGUCUUGUGUUGGUACAGACGGUGCAUAAGGUUUUUUACUUGUGCUUUCACCCUUCCAAAAUUUAUCAUGAAUAAUUGUAUGGCAUGUUUUCUCCUAUAUAUUACAAUAACAUUCGAUGUCUAGUAUGCUCAAGAUCAUCUGGUCUGUUUUGAGCCAAUAGCUGCUACAUUUGUUCAGUCUUAAACUCCUAAUGUUACUUUCCAUUCUAUUUCCUUAUGAUUUUUUUAUUGUCUGACUGUCGAGUAUGUAACAGUUUUGCUCUCUAAUUUGUUUGUCCAUACCCUUUGAUUUAAUCUCUUUCAUUAUUUUUUGAUUUAGGAAGAAUUGAACAAACAUCACACAUUAUCACUCAAUGUAAGAAAUUGAAUAAUAUUCUUCCAAAUGAAGUGGUACUAAUCCCUUCCAUAUUUUGUUGUUGUAUGCACAUCAACCUAUAAAUUAAAUAUUGGUCAACACCUAUUUGAGGUCUGAUUUUUUUAGUUUGCAAUCCAUCUUGAGUAGGAGCAAAAUUCAAGAUUCGGGAUCUACGAGAGAUGCAAGAGCUUUUGUUCUUAUAAAGGGACCAAUGAUCCGUUGCAUGGAAAUUACACGGAAUAGGAUCAUCACAACAAGGAGGCUGAAGCAGGACGUUAAGGUUAUCAAUAAAGGCAAGAGAUUCUACUUAUUCUUCUGAAUAAAGAGGGUAACCUUGAAGAGAAGCUUGCAACUUAAGCUAUAACCAAACAUUAUGAAAAGAGGUCUCACGCUGUGAAUAUUUAGUUGAUGCACUAGUGUUUUUAGAUGUUGCGCCUCUGUUUUCAUUCUCUUUUGAUUCAUGUAUGUAAAUUUGAUGGAAUUGUAUCCGAUGUAUGUGAAUUUUUAACUCCAUGGUUGAUGGAAGCUAUUGAUAGUGAUGUUUCUCUGUUCUAAACAUUCAGAGUAAUAAAAUAGCUAUGUGU